rnacentral:rRNA from 1 species
GGUUAAGCUACUAAGAGCACACGGAGGAUGCCUAGGCGCUAGGAGCCGAUGAAGGACGUGGCGAACAACGAAACUGCCUCGGGGAGCUGUAAGCAAGCUUUGAUCCGGGGGUGUCCGAAUGGGGAAACCCAGCUGGGGUAAUUUCCAGUUACUCACAACUGAAUACAUAGGUUGUGUAGAGGCAUACCAGGG